CUGUGCGGUGAGAAGCUGAGU
rnacentral:misc_RNA from 1 species